rnacentral:rRNA from 1 species
UACAGAGGAGCCAAGCGUUGUCCGGAUUGACUGGGCGUAAAGCGCACGCAGGCGGACGCGCGCGUGGGGUGUGAAAUCUGGCCGCUUAACGGCCAGGCGCCAUCCCAUAUGGCGUGUCUGGAGUGAUGCAGAGGUCGAUGGAAUUGCCGGUGUAGUGGUGAAAUGCGUAGAGAUCGGCAGGAACACCCAGGGGGAAACCAGUCGACUGGGCAUCUACUGACGCUGAGGUGCGAGAGCGUGGGGAGCGAACCGG